GCGGAGGAAAAGAAAAUAACAAUGAUUUCCCUAGUAACGGCGAGUGAAGAGGAAAGAGCUCAAAGUUGGAACCUGUUUGGCUUAGCUAAACCGGAUUGUAAACUGUAGAAGUGUUUUCCAGACACGCCUGGUAAAAAAGUCCUUUGGAACAGGGCAUCAUAGAGGGUGAGAAUCCCGUCUUUGGCCAGAGCUGUUGUCUUUUGUGAUACAUUUUCAAAGAGUCAGGUUGUUUGGGAAUGCAGCCUAAAUUGGGUGGUAAAUCUCACCUAAAGCUAAAUAUUUGCGAGAGACCGAUAGCGAACAAGUACCGUGAGGGAAAGAUGAAAAGAACUUUGAAAAGAGAGUUAAACAGUAUGUGAAAUUGUUAAAAGGGAACCGUUUGGAGCCAGACUGGCUUAACUGUAAUCAAUCUAGGCUUCGGCCUGGAUGCACUUGCGGUUUAUGCCUGCCAACGACAGUUUUAUUUGGGGGAAAAAAUUAAGAGGAAUGUGGCCAUUCGUGGUGUUAUAGCCUUUUAAAAAAUACCCUGGAUUGGACUGAGGAACGCAGUGGAUGCCUUUAGGCAAGAUUGCUAGGUGCUUUCGCUAAUAAAUGCUAGAAUUUCUGCUUCGGGUGGUGCUAGUGUUUAAAGGUGGAACUCGCUUGGUAUAUUUUUUAUCCGCUUAGGUUGUUGGCUUAAUGACUCUAAUGAC
rnacentral:rRNA from 1 species